UCCUACGGGUGGCAGCAGUGGGGAAUUUUGGACAAUGGGCGAAAGCCUGAUCCAGCAAUGCCGCGUGUGUGAAGAAGGCCUUCGGGUUUGUAAAGCACUUUUGUCCGGAAAGAAAUGGCUCUUGGUUAAUACCGGGGGUCGAUGACGGUACCGGAAGAAUAAGGACCGGCUAANUACGUGCCAGCAGCCGCGGUAAUACGUAGGGUCCAAGCGUUAAUGGGAAGUUACUGGGCGUAAAGCGUGCGCAGGCGGUUGUGCAAGACCGAUGUGAAAUCCCCGAGCUUAACUUGGGAAUUGCAUUGGUGACUGCACGGCUNGAGUGUGUCAGAGGGGGGUAGAAUUCCACGUGUAGCAGUGAAAUGCGUAGAGAUGUGGAGGAAUACCGAUGGCGAAGGCAGACCCCCUGGGAUAACACUGAACGCUCAUGCACGAAAAGCGUGGGGUAGCAAACAGGNAUUAGAUACCCNUGGUAGUCCACGCCCUAAACGGAUGUCAACUAGGUUGUUGGGGUAUUCAUUUCCUUAGAGUAACGUAGGCUGACGGCGUGGAAGUUGGACCGGCCUGGGGAGUACGGUUCGCAAGAUUAAGAGCUCAGAUGAUUUUGACGGG
rnacentral:rRNA from 1 species